GACGAACGCUGGCGGCGUGCUUAACACAUGCAAGUCGAACGGAAAGGCCCUGAGUUUGUGCGGUUCUCGAGUGGCGAACGGGGGAGUAAGACGUGAGUAACCUGCCCUUGUCUUUCGGGGAACUUCAGGUAAGUGGGGCUACUACAGGAUAGGAGAUCCUGCACCGGGGAGGGGGUUGGAAAGUUUCGGCGGGUGGGGAUGGACUAGCGGCUUAUGGGCUUGUUGGUGGGGGAGUGGCUGACCCAGGCUUGGACGGGUAGCCGGCCUGUGAGGGUGACCGGCCACACUGGGACUGAGAGACGGCCCAGCCUGCUACGGGAGGCAACAGGGGGGAAGCUUGCACAAUGCGCGGCAGCCUGAUGCAGCAGCCCCGCGUGCGGGAAGACGGCUUUCGGGUUGUAAACAGCUUUCGCCUGUGACGAAGCCUGAGUGACGGUAACGGGUAAAAAAGCACCGGCUAACUACGUG
rnacentral:rRNA from 1 species